CUUGUAAGGGAAGAUGCUUUCACUCAAUUUAAAAGUGAACUUGCUAUCACUGAACUUGAGCUUCAGGCAUUAUUAAAUAUGGCAAAAGAAAUCGUUAGUUAUGGCAUUCCAGCAGGUUCAAGAAAAAUAAAUGGGAAAUACAUUCAGUCUCUUCUUCUUUUACAGUUACAAGGCAUCCAAGAGAAGUUAAAGAAACAGAUAAAGGACGUGGAACUUACACAGUCGAAAGAGGUGUCGUUAUUCUGGUCUGGCAUGGCAG